AGAGUUUGAUCCUGGCUCAGAUUGAACGCUGGCGGCAGGCCUAACACAUGCAAGUCGAACGGUAACAGGAAGCAGCUUGCUGCUUCGCUGACGAGUGGCGGACGGGUGAGUAAUGUCUGGGAGACUGCCUGAUGGAGGGGGAUAACUACUGGAAACGGUGGCUAAUACCGCAUAACGUCGCAAGACCAAAGAGGGGGACCUUCGGGCCUCUUGCCAUCAGAUGUGCCCAGAUGGGAUUAGCUUGUUGGUGAGGUAACGGCUCACCAAGGCGACGAUCCCUAGCUGGUCUGAGAGGAUGACCAGCCACACUGGAACUGAGACACGGUCCAGACUCCUACGGGAGGCAGCAGUGGGGAAUAUUGCACAAUGGGCGCAAGCCUGAUGCAGCCAUGCCGCGUGUAUGAAGAAGGCCUUCGGGUUGUAAAGUACUUUCAGCGGGGAGGAAGGUGUUGUGGUUAAUAACCGCAGCAAUUGACGUUACCCGCAGAAGAAGCACCGGCUAACUCCGUGCCAGCAGCCGCGGUAAUACGGAGGGUGCAAGCGUUAAUCGGAAUUACUGGGCGUAAAGCGCACGCAGGCGGUCUGUCAAGUCGGAUGUGAAAUCCCCGGGCUCAACCUGGGAACUGCAUUCGAAACUGGCAGGCUUGAGUCUUGUAGAGGGGGGUAGAAUUCCAGGUGUAGCGGUGAAAUGCGUAGAGAUCUGGAGGAAUACCGGUGGCGAAGGCGGCCCCCUGGACAAAGACUGACGCUCAGGUGCGAAAGCGUGGUGAGCAAACAGGAUUAGAUACCCUGGUAGUCCACGCCGUAAACGAUGUCUACUUGGAGGUUGUGCCCUUGAGGCGUGGCUUCCGGAGCUAACGCGUUAAGUAGACCGCCUGGGGAGUACGGCCGCAGGGUUAAAACUCAAAUGAAUUGACGGGGGCCCGCACAAGCGGUGGAGCAUGUGGUUUAAUUCGAUGCAACGCGAAGAACCUUACCUGGUCUUGACAUCCACAGAAGAAUCCAGAGAUGGAUUUGUGCCUUCGGGAACCGUGAGACAGGUGCUGCAUGGCUGUCGUCAGCUCGUGUUGUGAAAUGUUGGGUUAAGUCCCGCAACGAGCGCAACCCUUAUCCUUUGUUGCCAGCGGUUAGGCCGGGAACUCAAAGGAGACUGCCAGUGAUAAAUUGGAGGAAGGUGGGGAUGACGUCAAGUCAUCAUGGCCCUUACGACCAGGGCUACACACGUGCUACAAUGGCGCAUACAAAGAGAAGCGACCUCGCGAGAGCAAGCGGACCUCAUAAAGUGCGUCGUAGUCCGGAUUGGAGUCUGCAACUCGACUCCAUGAAGUCGGAAUCGCUAGUAAUCGUGGAUCAGAAUGCCACGGUGAAUACGUUCCCGGGCCUUGUACACACCGCCCGUCACACCAUGGGAGUGGGUUGCAAAAGAAGUAGGUAGCUUAACCUUCGGGAGGGCGCUUACCACUUUGUGAUUCAUGACUGGGGUGAAGUCGUAACAAGGUAACC
rnacentral:rRNA from 1 species